GACGAACGCUGGCGGCGUGCCUAAUACAUGCAAGUUGAGCGCUGAAGGUUGGUACUUGUACCAACUGGAUGAGCAGCGAACGGGUGAGUAACGCGUGGGGAAUCUGCCUUUGAGCGGGGGACAACAUUUGGAAACGAAUGCUAAUACCGCAUAAAAACUUUAAACACAAGUUUUAAGUUUGAAAGAUGCAAUUGCAUCACUCAAAGAUGAUCCCGCGUUGUAUUAGCUAGUUGGUGAGGUAAAGGCUCACCAAGGCGAUGAUACAUAGCCGACCUGAGAGGGUGAGCGGCCACAUUGGGACUGAGACACGGCCCAAACUCCUACGGGAGGCAGCAGUAGGGAAUCUUCGGCAAUGGACGAAAGUCUGACCGAGCAACGCCGCGGGAGUGAAGAAGGUUUUCGGGUCGUAAAACUCUGUUGGUAGAGAAGAACGUUGGUGAGAGUGGAAAGCUCAUCAAGUGACGGUAACUACCCAGAAAGGGACGGCUAACUACGUG
rnacentral:rRNA from 1 species